AGUGAACGCUGGCGGUAGGCCUAACACAUGCAAGUCGAACGGCAGCACAGUAAGAGCUUGCUCUUACGGGUGGCGAGUGGCGGACGGGUGAGGAAUACAUCGGAAUCUACUCUUUCGGGGGGGAUAACGUAGGGAAACUUACGCUAAUACCGCAUACGACCUACGGGUGAAAGCAGGGGAUCUUCUGACCUUGCGCGAUUGUAUGAGCCGAUGUCGGAUUAGCUAGUUGGCGGGGUAAAGGCGCACCAAGGCGACGAUCCGUAGCUGGUCUGAGCGGAUGAUCAGCCACACUGGAACUGAGACACGGUCCAGACUCCUACGGGAGGCAGCAGUGGGGAAUAUUGGACAAUGGGCGCAAGCCUGAUCCAGCCAUACCGCGUGAGUGAAGAAGGCCUUCGGGUUGUAAAGCCCUUUUGUUGGGAAAGAAAAGCAGCAGGUUAAUACCCCGCUGUUCUGACGGUACCCAUAGAAUAAGCACCGGCUAACUUCGUG
rnacentral:rRNA from 1 species